UUUUAUAUAUUUAUAAUAAUAUUAUAUAUUUAUAAUAUAUUAAUUCUAAUAAAAUUAGAUUAGAAUAAAUUAAAAUUUAAUAUAAAAU